rnacentral:rRNA from 1 species
UACGGAGGGUGCAAGCGUUAUCCGGAUUCACUGGGUUUAAAGGGUGCGUAGGCGGAACAGCAAGUCCGUUGUGAAAUCUCCGAGCUUAACUCGGAAAUUGCGGUGGAUACUAUUGUUCUUGAAUACUGUUGAGGUUAGCGGAAUAUGUCAUGUAGCGGUGAAAUGCAUAGAUAUGACAUAGAACACCAAUUGCGAAGGCAGCUGGCUAAACAGAUAUUGACGCUGAGGCACGAAAGCGUGGGGAUCAAACAGG